GGAAGAUGCUGCUAAAUGGUCGGCAACCAGUCUUGAAAACUGGGGUGAGGUAACACUCAGGGGUUCGAUUCCUCCAUUUUCCG
rnacentral:tRNA from 2 species